rnacentral:rRNA from 1 species
CCCUUAGAUGUCCUGGGCUGCACGCGCGCUACACUGAUGUGUCCAGUAAGCACCUAACCUCUUCCGAAAGGAACGGGUAACCUUUGCAAAGCACAUCGUGAUGGGGAUAGAUUAUUGCAAUUAUUAGUCUUGAACGAGGAAUUCCUAGUAAGCACAAGUCAUCAGCUUGUGUUGAUUACGUCCCUGCCCUUUGUACACACCGCCCGUCGCUCCUACCGAUUGAAUGUUCCGGUGAGUUCUUCGGACUGCGCGGUCUGCAGUUUCUGCGUUCCGUGCGGAAAGUUGCGCAAACCUUAACAUUUAGAGGAAGGAGAAGUCGUAACA